ACAAAGCCAGGGUCCCAUCAUCAUUAGUGGUGGUGGUGGUGGAGGAGGAGGAGGUGGUUCAGGCCACCAGGGUCAAGGUCCCAUCUGCAUUGGAGGUGGCAGUGGAGGAGGAGGAGGAGGAGGUG